rnacentral:rRNA from 1 species
GGCGAGUAUGGAAUAGUUAAUCUGCCCUCCACAAGAGGACAACAGAUGGAAACGACUGCUAAUACUCUAUACUCCUGCUUAACACAAGAUGAGUCAGGGAAAGUUUUUCGGUGUAGGAUGAGACUAUAUAGUAUCAGCUAGUUGGUAAGGUAAUGGCUUACCAAGGCUAUGACACUUAACUGGUCUGAGAGGAAGAUCAGUCACACUGGAACUGAGACACGGUCCAGACUCCUACGGGAGGCAGCAGUAGGGAAUAUUGCGCAACGGGGGAAACCCUGACGCAGCAACCCCGCGUGGAGGAUGACACUUUUCGGAGCGUAAACUCCUUUUCUUAGGGCAGAAUUCUGACGGUACCUAAGGAAUAAGCACCGGCUAACUCCGUGCCAGCAGACGCGGUAAUACGGAGGGUGCAAG